UACGAAGGGGGCGAGCGUUGUUCGGAUUUACUGGGCGUAAAGGGCGCGUAGGCGGCCUUGUCAGUCAGGCGUGAAAGCCCCGGGCUCAACCUGGGAACGGCGCUUGGGACGGCGAGGCUGGAGUUCGGGAGAGGAGAGUGGAAUUCCCAGUGUAGAGGUGAAAUUCGUAGAUAUUGGGAAGAACACCGGUGGCGAAGGCGGCUCACUGGCCCGGUACUGACGCUGAGGUGCGAAAGCGUGGGGAGCAAACAGG
rnacentral:rRNA from 1 species